GAUGAACGCUGGCGGCGUGCCUAAUACAUGCAAGUCGAACGAGUUCUUGUUGAUGAUCGGUGCUUGCACCAAGAUUCAACAUGGAACGAGUGGCGGACGGGUGAGUAACACGUGGGUAACCUGCCCUUAAGUGGGGGAUAACAUUUGGAAACAGAUGCUAAUACCGCAUAGAUCCAAGAACCGCAUGGUUCUUGGCUGAAAGAUGGCGUAAGCUAUCGCUUUUGGAUGGACCCGCGGCGUAUUAGCUAGUUGGUGAGGUAAUGGCUCACCAAGGCGAUGAUACGUAGCCGAACUGAGAGGUUGAUCGGCCACAUUGGGACUGAGACACGGCCCAAACUCCUACGGGAGGCAGCAGUAGGGAAUCUUCCACAAUGGACGCAAGUCUGAUGGAGCAACGCCGCGUGAGUGAAGAAGGCUUUCGGGUCGUAAAACUCUGUUGUUGGAGAAGAAUGGUCGGCAGAGUAACUGUUGUCGGUGUGACGGUAUCCAGCCAGAAAGCCACGGCUAACUACGUGCCAGCAGCCGCGGUAAUACGUAGGUGGCAAGCGUUAUCCGGAUUUAUUGGGCGUAAAGCGAGCGCAGGCGGUUUUUUAAGUCUGAUGUGAAAGCCCUCGGCUUAACCGAGGAAGCGCAUCGGAAACUGGGAAACUUGAGUGCAGAAGAGGACAGUGGAACUCCUGGUGUAGCGGUGAAAUGCGUAAUUUUAUGGAAGAACACCAGUGGCGGAGGCGGCUGUCUGGUCUGUAACUGACGCUGAGGCUCGAAAGCAUGGGUAGCGAACAGGAUUAGAUACCCUGGCAGUCCAUGCCGUAAACGAUGAAUGCUAGGUGUUGGAGGGUUUCCGCCCUUCAGUGCCGCAGCUAACGCAUUAAGCAUUCCGCCUGGGGAGUACGACCGCAAGGUUGAAACUCAAAGGAAUUGACGGGGGCCCGCACAAGCGGUGGAGCAUGUGGUUUAAUUCGAAGCAACGCGAAGAACCUUACCAGGUCUUGACAUCUUUUGAUCACCUGAGAGAUCAGGUUUCCCCUUCGGGGGCAAAAUGACAGGUGGUGCAUGGUUGUCGUCAGCUCGUGUCGUGAGAUGUUGGGUUAAGUCCCGCAACGAGCGCAACCCUUAUGACUAGUUGCCAGCAUUUAGUUGGGCACUCUAGUAAGACUGCCGGUGACAAACCGGAGGAAGGUGGGGAUGACGUCAAAUCAUCAUGCCCCUUAUGACCUGGGCUACACACGUGCUACAAUGGAUGGUACAACGAGUUGCGAGACCGCGAGGUCAAGCUAAUCUCUUAAAGCCAUUCUCAGUUCGGACUGUAGGCUGCAACUCGCCUACACGAAGUCGGAAUCGCUAGUAAUCGCGGAUCAGCACGCCGCGGUGAAUACGUUCCCGGGCCUUGUACACACCGCCCGUCACACCAUGAGAGUUUGUAACACCCGAAGCCGGUGGCGUAACCCUUUUAGGGAGCGAGCCGUCUAAGGUGGGACAAAUGAUUAGGGUG
rnacentral:rRNA from 1 species